rnacentral:rRNA from 1 species
UACGUAGGGUGCAAGCGUUGUCCGGAAUUAUUGGGCGUAAAGAGCUCGUAGGCGGUCUGUCGCGUCUGCUGUGAAAACUCGGGGGCUUAACCCCCGGGCCUGCAGUGGGUACGGGCAGACUAGAGUGCGGUAGGGGAGACUGGAAUUCCUGGUGUAGCGGUGAAAUGCGCAGAUAUCAGGAGGAACACCGGUGGCGAAGGCGGGGUCUCUGGGGCCCGUAA